rnacentral:misc_RNA from 1 species
CAAUCUUCUUCUCAAGUGAUUAAACAAGCUCUAAUGAGGUUUUUAUGGAAGCUAGUAAGGUUUAGUGAAGAAUUUCAAGCUUGAGUGCAAGCUUUAAUGGAGGUUUAGCAAUGGAGAAAUGAGGGAGUGUGAGGGCGCACUUUGGAUGUGGAAGACCAAAUGAUUUUUCUUUUAUUUUUAUUUCUUUUAUGUAUUUUUUCUUAUAGAAGACCAAAAAAAAAUCAAUUUAAUUAAUUUAUUAAUUAUAGGAUUUAUGGCAUCAUGCAUGAUGUCAUGCAUGAUGUCAUCUCCCUUCACUUUUUCAUUUUCUUUUUUUUUCUAUUUAUUU